UACGAAGGGGGCUAGCGUUGCUCGGAAUCACUGGGCGUAAAGGGUGCGUAGGCGGGUCUUUAAGUCGGGGGGGAAAUCCUGGAGCUCAACUCCAGAACUGCCUUUGAUACUGAAGAUCUUGAGUUCGGGAGAGGUGAGUGGAACUGCGAGUGUAGAGGUGAAAUUCGUAGAUAUUCGCGAGAACACCAGUGGCGAAGGCGGCUCACUGGCCCGAUACUGACGCUGAGGCACGAAAGCGUGGGGAGCAAACAGG
rnacentral:rRNA from 1 species